UACGGAGGGAGCUAGCGUUGUUCGGAAUUACUGGGCGUAAAGCGCACGUAGGCGGCUUUUUAAGUCAGGGGUGAAAUCCCGGGGCUCAACCUCGGAACUGCCCUUGAAACUGGGAAGCUAGAAUCUUGGAGAGGCGAGUGGAAUUCCGAGUGUAGAGGUGAAAUUCGUAGAUAUUCGGAAGAACACCAGUGGCGAGGCGACUCGCUGGACAAGUAUUGACGCUGAGGUGCGACAGCGUGGGGAGCAAACAGG
rnacentral:rRNA from 1 species